ensembl:lncRNA
CCUUAGUCCCUUAGCCCGGAUAGAGCAGCCUUGAACCGGUGGGAGGGCGGAAGUGGUGGAGUGGACCGCAGCCGAGGCCAGGGGCUUCACGGAACUUCUGGGGUCCUCAGUUUCCCCAUAGGUCGAUUUGGGCUAAGACCUUCCCCCACAGGAAGGGUUGCUGAGGGAAUGGGGCUACAGGACAGCAAUCGCACAUCCUGCAGACCUGUAGUCAGAUCAGGCACAGAGAAAGGAAACAACUUUCAAAGAUCACUCAGCAAGCUGGCCAUCGAGCUGAUGGAGGCCUCCUAUGCUUAUCCACCAAGCCGGGUUGCCUAUUGGUGUGUCCAAGCAGAGGUCCUCAGGGAGACUGAGGCAACUCGGGGUGCAUUCCAGCUUGGAGUGAAGCAGAGCACGGAGACCAGAUCUUCUACCUCAUCUGGCCCUCAUCUUCCCUAAUAACCAGGGGAAGUGUGUUUCCUUUUAUGACUGAGUAUGGUGAUCAGCAGGAAGGCCUGGGACAGCUUCCCCUGUAUCCUGGCCUCGCAUAAUACCAUAUGUCAAGAACUGUAUACAGGCAAAGUAAUCAAUGACAAGAAUAGCCCAAGGAGAGAGCUGUCGGGAGCAAUGCUACAUAAUUUUAGGGACAAGAAGCAUCCUGGGAGCUGAGAACAUCCUGGGAGGAACAAACAUCUCAGUUCCUCAUUGUUCUUGGAUUGUUACCAUCUUGUUUACUGGGAUGUACUGAACUCCCUGCAAGUCAUUUGUUACAUUUGUUUCUCCCGAUGGACUGAAUAAAAG